rnacentral:rRNA from 1 species
GACGUAGGGCGCGAGCGUUGUCCGGAAUUACUGGGCGUAAAGAGCUCGUAGGUGGUUUGUCGCGUUGUCCGUGAAAACUCACAGCUCAACUGUGGGCGUGCGGGCGAUACGGGCAGACUGGAGUACUGCAGGGGAGACUGGAAGUUCCUGGUGUAGCGGGUGGAAUGACGCAGAUAUCAGGAGGAACACCGGUGGCGAAGGCGGGUCUCUGGGCAGUAACUGACGCUGGAGGAGCGAAAGCGUGGGGAGCGAACAGG